rnacentral:rRNA from 1 species
UUACCAGGUCAAGACAUGGGCGUGAUUGACAGGCUAAUGACUUUUCUCGAUUCCAUGGAUGGUGGUGCAUGGUCGCACUUAGUUGGUGCAGUGAUUUGUCAGGUUUAUUCCGGUAACGAACGAGACCUCGGCCUUGUAAAUAGCUAUGCUGCUUACAGGGACAUUGGCGGCUACGCCAAGGAAGCUCGAGGCAAUUGCAGAUCUGGAAUGCCCUUAGAUGUCCUGGGUCGCACGCGUGCUACAAUGACGCCACGAACGAGCUUGCGUGAUGAAAGUUACGCAUAAUCAGCAGUCGGCGUCUUAAGGGAUAGUCUCUUGUAACUGUGGGACUCCAACUAGGAAUGUCUCGUAAGCACAAGUCAACAUCUUGUGUUGAUUACGUCCCUGCUCUUUGUACACACCGCCCGUCGCUCCUACCGAUCGAGUGUUUAGGUGAAAUUUGAUGGACGUAAGGAAAGUCAAAUAAACCUGAGCACUAGAGGAAGGAGAAGUCGAGCUGC